CAAACAUAGAAAAACUUAUAACACAGCAAUAUAAAGCGUUGAAGAUUCAAAUUCUGCAAUCAACUUGCUAUGAGCAAAAAGCAAUAAUUAUAAGAAGACUAAAGGAAGAAAAAACAAAGAAUUUUUUCGUAAAUGGAGUGAACGUAUAUGUCUGCUAUAUGGACAACAAAAACGAGAACUGCUGCAAUUUAAUGAGGAAAGUGCAAGAAUAAGAUUCAGUGUUCUGGCAAUAGCUCAGGCAUCGAAAGAAUCUUAUUCAGAUGAUGAAAGCCUGAGAUAUCUUUUUCAGUAUGGUGUUCUGGUUUUUCCAUUGCUUCCAUGAUAAAAAUUUCCAAGUUCUUUGUGAGUAUCGCCUUAUUAGUAUAUUUUUUACAUCCUACAAGAUUUUUUGUUUUCAUUUAAAAUAAUAAGAAGUUAUAGUGGAGAAUUUAUAAAAUAAUAUUCUAAUAAAAAAUUAUUUUUUUAUAAGUGUAAAUAUCAGUAAUCAAACAUGCAUUUCUCAAAACGAGAUUUAUGUUCAAGAUACAAGUUAUCCUUUUAUUGUUACAUAUUUUUUAUCUGAUAAUAAUAUGACAUUUAAUUUAUAACAAAAUUAUUGUUGAGAAUUAGAAACAAUUGUAUUCACUUGUCAAUUUCUUGCAAGUUUUCUGUUGUAAGAUUUUUUAACGUAUCU